UACAGAGGUCUCAAGCGUUGUUCGGAUUCAUUGGGCGUAAAGGGUGCGUAGGCGGCGCGGUAAGUCGGGUGUGAAAUCUUGGAGCUUAACUCCGAAACUGCAUUCGAUACUGCCGUGCUUGAGGACUGGAGAGGAGACUGGAAUUUACGGUGUAGCGGUGAAAUGCGCAGAUAAUCAGGAGGAACACCAAUUGCGAAGGCAGCUCGCUGGGACGUUAAGCUGGACGCUGGAGACGCGAAAGCGUGGGGAGCAAACAGG
rnacentral:rRNA from 1 species